CUUGAAAACACUUGGAUCAAGUGUGAUGCCUGCUAGCUGUGAAAGUUCAUACAACUCUGCUUCAUCCAAAGUGAGAACAUUUUUACUCAGUAAUGUAUAUUUGAGUGUUUGUUGUGACAUUGUAAGAUCAAGUCAUCAGUAAACACCUGCAAUAAAUACAAAAGGUUGUGACAUUGUAAGAUCAAGUCAUCAGUAAACACCUGCAAUAAAUACAAAAGGUUGUGACAUUGUAAGAUCAAGUCAUCAGUAAACACCUGCAAUAAAUACAAAAGGUUGUGACAUUGUAAGAUCAAGUCAUCAGUAAACACCUGCAAUAAAUACAAAAGGUUGUGACAUUGUAAGAUCAAGUCAUCAGUAAA